rnacentral:rRNA from 1 species
UACGUAGGGUGCGAGCGUUAAUCGGAAUUACUGGGCGUAAAGUGUGCGCAGGCGGCAGAGCAAGUCGAGUGUGAAAGCCCCGGGCUUAACUUGGGAAUUGCGCUCGAAACUACUUUGCUGGAGUGUGGCAGAGGAAGGUGGAAUUCCACGUGUAGCGGUGAAAUGCGUAGAGAUGUGGAGGAACACCAAUGGCGAAGGCGGAUCUCUGGGCCUUGCCUGACGCUGAGGCGCGAAAGCUAGGGGAGCGAACAGG